rnacentral:rRNA from 1 species
UACCAGCACCCCGAGUGGUCGGGACGAUUAUUGGGCCUAAAGCAUCCGUAGCCGGUCCUACAAGUCUUCCGUUAAAUCCACCUGCUUAACAGAUGGGCUGCGGAAGAUACUAUAGGGCUAGGAGGCGGGAGAAGCAAGCGGUACUCAGUGGGUAGGGGUAAAAUCCUCUGAUCCAUUGAAGACCACCAGUGGCGAAGGCGGCUUGCCAGAACGCGCUCGACGGUGAGGGAUGAAAGCUGGGGGAGCAAACAGG